AUUGAACGCUGGCGGCAGGCCUAACACAUGCAAGUCGAGCGGAUGAAGGGAGCUUGCUCCUGGAUUCAGCGGCGGACGGGUGAGUAAUGCCUAGGAAUCUGCCUGGUAGUGGGGGAUAGCGUCCGGAAACGGGCGCUAAUACCGCAUACGUCCUGAGGGAGAAAGUGGGGGAUCUUCGGACCUCACGCUAUCAGAUGAGCCUAGGUCGGAUUAGCUAGUUGGUGGGGUAAAGGCCUACCAAGGCGACGAUCCGUAACUGGUCUGAGAGGAUGAUCAGUCACACUGGAACUGAGACACGGUCCAGACUCCUACGGGAGGCAGCAGUGGGGAAUAUUGGACAAUGGGCGAAAGCCUGAUCCAGCCAUGCCGCGUGUGUGAAGAAGGUCUUCGGAUUGUAAAGCACUUUAAGUUGGGAGGAAGGGCAGUAAGUUGAUACCUUGCUGUUUUGACGUUACCAACAGAAUAAGCACCGGCUAACUUCGUG
rnacentral:rRNA from 1 species